CCAAAGUGCUAGGAUUACAGGUGUGAGCCACCGCGCCUGGCCUACAUUUGUUCUCAUUGCCCUCCUGGCUCUCUCUCAUGUUAAUGCUUAGAUUCAGGGAGAAGCCCCUGAAGAGUUUCUUACAAUUACACUGCAUUGAGCCAGGGAAAGGCACUAUAUGGUGGGAAGUCAAGUGAUCAUCAGAAGACAGCCUGGAGAGGCUAGAAUCAGAGUGAGAAGAGGGCGCCGGCUGCCUGAUUGGAAAGUUAACUGAAGCCGAUGCUUCACUCUCCACCAAAGGGAUAGGAAUCUCCAGACAGGUCACCCACUCCCACACAGACCUGGACGUACAUGACUCCCUCUUCCUCCUGGACACGGUUUUGUCCUGUGCUGGGCACACCUCUUGUACUAGACAUGUUCUUUGUUCUGCAGUGUCAAUUCCAUGGAUUAUGUUACAGCCCAGUUCUUGAUCUUCUUUGACCUUGCCUCCACCCUGCCUACCAAGUGAAGCCAGGAAAUAGACAGCUGUCCCAGAGCGACCCUAACUGAGCUUCAGGGUCCUCAGUGGCUAUCAUGUUCUGCUGAAGUUAGGAAAUGUCAUGUGAUCACGUGUGAUCUGUGUGUAAACCUAACAACCUCCCCACCCCCAACCCGGGCUUCGCCUGCCAAUCUUCCAGGCAGGUUGAGUGGUGCAGAGGCUGAUGAAUUGAUAAUGAUGGGUGAUCAAUACCUUUAUCUCAGAACAGGGGCUGCCUCUUCUCUGUAAACCAUUUGCUACCUUAAUUCAACCCAGAGUAAGCUGUGGUUGGGAGCUGAAUUGAUGAGAGCACUGCUCAAGUCCUAGAAUUACAGGCUCAUUCCCUGCAUUGGCACUCAGACAUGAUACCUGAAAUGCUCAGGAUGUUAGCUGACAUCUUUGUGAAAAGGAAAAAAGUAUCCUAAAGGUAACCUCUUUGGUUUGGUUUGUGGGGAAAGAAAUCUUCCCUGCCUUCAUAGCUUUCAGUGCUGCCCGUUUGUUCUAAUGUGUUCUGACUUCCCCAGCUCAGCACUUCCUUAGACACCUCCCUCACCAACAGGAUGGCCGUGUCAGCCUCCACUGGGCUUAAAUUAUAUGAAUAGACAGCAAUGCAGAGAGCUUGUCAUGUGCUAGACUCUCUUUGCAGCACUUUACAUAUUAAUUCCUUGAACUUUCAUAAUAAUCCUUUGAUGUUUGGCACUAUGAUUUCCUUCAUAUUACAGAUGAGGAGAGGAGACAUGGAAAUUAAGUAACUUGCCCAAGGUCACUAAUUAAUGAGUAGCAGGGCCAGAAUCUAACACCGUCAGCCCACCUUCCUAUCCACAGUGGUAAGCAGAGCUGAAAGAUUUCUGUACAUGUAUUCAAUUCUCCCCGUAUUAAAUUUUAGCUGAUGAUGCUAAAGUUGCCAUCUGGGUUUCCAGGAAUCUGCUUGAAAACUCGGGUAUAUUGGCCGGGCGUGGUGGUUCAUGCCUGUAA
rnacentral:lncRNA from 10 species